AUUGAACGCUGGCGGCAUGCUUUACACAUGCAAGUCGAACGGUAACAGGCCGCAAGGUGCUGACGAGUGGCGAACGGGUGAGUAAUGCAUCGGAACGUGCCCAGUCGUGGGGGAUAACGCAGCGAAAGCUGCGCUAAUACCACAUACGAUCUAUGGAUGAAAGCGGGGGACCGUAAGGCCUCGCGCGAUUGGAGCGGCCGAUGUCAGAUUAGGUAGUUGGUGGGGUAAAGGCUCACCAAGCCAACGAUCUGUAGCUGGUCUGAGAGGACGACCAGCCACACUGGGACUGAGACACGGCCCAGACUCCUACGGGAGGCAGCAGUGGGGAAUUUUGGACAAUGGGCGCAAGCCUGAUCCAGCAAUGCCGCGUGCAGGAAGAAGGCCUUCGGGUUGUAAACUGCUUUUGUACGGAACGAAACGGUUCGGGUUAAUACCCUGGGCUAAUGACGGUACCGUAAGAAUAAGCACCGGCUAACUACGUGCCAGCAGCCGCAGUAACAC
rnacentral:rRNA from 1 species